rnacentral:rRNA from 1 species
GUAGGGGGGCGAGCGUUUGUCCGGGAUUUUAUUGGGGGCUAAAAGAGCUCGUAGGCGGUUGCGUAAGUCGGAUGUGAAAAACUCAGGGGGCUCAACCCUGAGAUGCCAUUCGAUACUGCGCUGACUCGAGUCCCGGUAGGGGAGCAUGGAAUUCCUGGUGUAGCGGUGAAAUGCGCAGAUAUCAGGAGGGAACACCAGUGGCGAAGGCGGUGCUCUGGGCCGGUACUGACGCUGAGGAGCGAAAGCAUGGGUAGCAAACAGGAUUAGAUACCCUGGUAGUCCAUGCCGUAAACGUUGGGCACUAGUGCGGGGCCGUACUUAACGGGUUCCGUGCCGUAGCUAACGCAUUAAGUGCCCCGCCCUGGGGAGGUACGGCCGCAAGGCUA